AGGAAGGCUCUUGGGUUGUAAACCUCUUUUCUCAGGGAAGAACAAAAUGACGGUACCUGAGGAAUAAGCAUCGGCUAACUCCGUGCCAGCAGCCGCGGUAAUACGGAGGAUGCAAGCGUUAUCCGGAAUGAUUGGGCGUAAAGCGUCCGCAGGUGGCAUUGAAAGUCUGCUGUCAAAGAGUCUGGCUCAACCAGAUAAAGGCAGUGGAAACUACAAAGCUAGAGUACGUUCGGGGCAGAGGGAAUUCCUGGUGUAGCGGUGAAAUGCGUAGAGAUCAGGAAGAACACCGGUGGCGAAAGCGCUCUGCUAGGCCGUAACUGACACUGAGGGACGAAAGCUAGGGGAGCGAAUGGGAUUAGAUA
rnacentral:rRNA from 1 species